GGGUGGUUAGCUCAGCGGUAGAGCACUGCCUUCACACGGCAGGGGUCAGUGGUUCGAUCCCACUACCACCCACCA
rnacentral:tRNA from 1 species